rnacentral:rRNA from 1 species
UACGGAGGGUGCGAGCGUUGUCCGGAAUUACUGGGCGUAAAGCGUGCGCAGGCGGUUUUGCAAGCCGGAUGUGAAAUCCCCGGGCUCAACCUGGGAAUGGCAUUCGGGACUGCAAGGCUGGAGUGCGGCAGAGGAGACUGGAAUUCCUGGUGUAGCAGUGAAAUGCGUAGAUAUCAGGAGGAAUACCGAUGGCGAAGGCAGGUCUCUGGGCUGACACUGACGCUCAUGCACGAAAGCGUGGGGAGCAAACAGG